GCUGUAGUUCAAUGGCAGAGCAUCUGCCUCACAUGCAGAAGGUCACAGGUUCAAUCCCUGUCAUCUACA